UGACUCUCCCCACCAUGGUGCUCUAAGA
rnacentral:piRNA from 1 species